UGCAUUCACUACUGUAAGUCGCCCUGGAUAAGAGCGUCUGCUAAAUGACUAAAA
rfam:Salmo salar isolate Sally breed double haploid chromosome ssa27, whole genome shotgun sequence.